rnacentral:rRNA from 1 species
CGUGUAGGCGGUCGGGUAAGUCAGAUGUGAAAGCCUUCUGCUUAACAGAAGAAGUGCAUUUGAAACUGCUCGGCUGGAGUACGGGAGAGGAGAGUGGAAUUCCCGGUGUAGAGGUGAAAUUCGUAGAUAUCGGGAGGAACACCAGUGGCGAAGGCGGCUCUCUGGUCCGAUACUGACGCUGAGACGCGAAAGCGUGGGGAGCAAACAGGAUUAGAUACCCUGGUAGUCCACGCCGUAAACGAUGGGCACUAGGUGUAGGAGGUAUUGACCCCUUCUGUGCCGAAGUUAACGCAUUAAGUGCCCCGCCUGGGGAGUACGGCCGCAAGGCUAAA